GCCUUCGUGGCUAAGUGGUUACAGCGUCGCACUUGUAUCUGCAAGGUCCAUGCGAAGAUCUCCUGUUCAAAUCAGGACUGAGGCA